rnacentral:lncRNA from 1 species
CCCUGUUUUCGUCUUGGAUACGUACAUGCUUCCGUGUAAUAUUGAUUGAAUAAUACUAGAUCUGCAUCUAUGCAUGUAUGAUGCAUAUGUGAGUGCUACCUCUAGGAAGUACAUGAACAUCAUGUAAUCCGAACAAAGUUUCAACAGGGAACCAGUUCAAGUUGAAUAACCCAAGACCCCAGAAUUGGAGCUGCUACUGUUUUGGCGGUUGAAACGAAUAUAAGCUUAAAAACUAUAGAACAAAUGAGACAUGAAGCUUUACUAGAAGUCUAGAAGGGAAGUCAUAAUUCGUAAGAAAGUGGGAGCAGACAUAGCACGACAGCUGAAGAUUUGGCCACCACGAACAUAAAAUUGGGUGCCUUCUCCUCCACCAUCUUGAGCUCUUCGGCCGCCACCUUUCUUUCCUUGGCCGCCGCCCUCCGCCGCUCGGCUUCCCUCCUCUCUUCCAUUUAUUUUGACUUCAACUUUUUUUCUUCGGCAUAGUCUUUCCUUGCAGUGACAAUGGCGUCAAACCCUUAUUUAAGAUCAUUGUCUCCAGCCUUCGAACCCUUUGUUUUCUUAUUUCCAUCCAGCCUAUAUGACUUGGUCGCCGAGUGAGGAGUGGGGCUCCUUCUCUCCUUACCACAGACAUCAUCAUCAAUCCUCACGAUCAACAACCACACUUUUCUUCUUCGAAGCAUCAUAAACUUCUCAAGUCUUUCACUUCUUCUCAUCCUUGAGCUCCUUGUAGCAAUUGAUGAAAAGUGAAGGCUUUUCCUUUCUUUUUCCUCUUCUCUCCUUUGUUGUUUCUUUCUUGAAACAAUCCUUGCGCAGUCAUUUUCUACAACGAAACAACAAAAGCGACAUCAUCAAUUUAGGAACAUAUGCAGACUUGGGCAAUGUAGAGAAAACAAACACAAGUAGCAAGCAAUUACCAUGUCACUAUCACCGCAACCACUAGAGUUGAUGCAACCAACAUUUGUUAAGCAACCCGUCCACUUUUGGCAUUCGGCAUUGACGGUGCCCCAACGUUGACGAAUAAAAUCCCUUGAUCUAUAGUGUCCACUAGUAUUGCACUCAUCAAAAUAUUCCUUGAUGCAGUCCCAAUAGGUGUUCGCGGCUGGGUCACUCCCCACGGAUGCAUCAAUGGAGAUUCGCUUCCACGCAGUGCAAAUCAAGCCAUCUUCGGCGUUGGUAUAAUUUGUGCUUCUUCCCUUGAAAAUAAAGCCCUCAUUGUCCAUGUCGAGAUUAUCAUCAUCAAAUUGAGUAUCACAUUCUUGUGAUGCAUACUCUUGAGAGAAAUAAUCUUCGUUUACGCCAUUUGUCACGUGCAUGAAUGCUUCAUCAUCAAGACUACAAGUGGACGUACACACAAUCUCACAUUCUACUCGUACCAGAAAUGAAAAUAACAUACAAAAAGAAAAAAAAAUACCUUUGCAAAUUUCGUCGAGCACAUUGGAGGCGGUGUCGCGGGCGUGGCCGAGUCUUCCUCCAUGGGCGGCGGCGGGGCUUGCGGUGGUGGAGGAGGCCCAUGUUCGGUGGCAGUUGCCGCGGCCGCCAGCGGCAUCGAAUCGGCCGAAGCAGCCGCAGUCGCCUUUUUCAUCUUCACCACUCGAGAUUGAGUCGUGGCGGGGUUGCACACCGUCGGCCGCUUCGCGCCUCCACCAUGGGGUUUAGCCGCCGGCUGCUUCAUCACCGGCGGCGCACCUGUUCCUGCCGCAGCGACCGACCGAGGUGAGGCGAAACCGGGGCAACGGGAUGGGGCGGCAUGGCGGCGGAGGCGGGGUCGGUGAAGGUGAUUGCGCAAGCGGCAGCCGUGACGAGGUGGGUCAGACCAGCGGAGGUUGCGGCUGGGAGGGGGGGUCAUCGGUGUCGGCCAUGGGGCUAAGCGGCAGCUUGCGACCAGCGGUCGGGAGACGGGCGGGCGGCUGAAAGUUUCAGAUUCGGCGGUUGGCUGUUCACGCGCGGCUGGGCGUUUUACAUCACCAGGCGGCUGGAGAUGCAAAUUUGGAUCUCCAAGUGUUAUAUUUUACAUAACUUGGGGUAGGUGAUGUAAAAAUUUAUACAUCAGCAUCAUCUGUUAGAGCAGCGUUUUUCUUUUUGGCCUUGAAGAUGUAAAAAGCUGUUAUUUAUAUACCUACAUCAUCUAUUGGAGAUGCUCUCACAUCAUAAGACCAUAAGAGCUCAUAGGCCUGAUAGGUUAAAAUAUUAUGAUUAUACAUUAUUUAGACUUGCUAAAUGGAGCAAAAAAGUUACCCCUUUGUAAACUAAUAUAAGAGCGUUUAGAUCACUAAAGUAGUAAUCUAAACGCUCUUAUAUUAAUUUACGGAGGGAGUAGUUCAUACAUUGAACAGAGCAGCAAAAUAUAUCAGCAACGUAAAUAACAUGCAACAUCGGACUGAAAUCUAUAGAAAAUAAAAUGAUACUAAAACAGCGACAAUUAAUAUGAAUCCAAGGUAGUAGUAUUUUUUGAUUUUUUUGCCAGCCCUCCCACUUUUCAUUUUUCACAUGUCAGUCGCACCAACGUAAAUUUACGCACACACAAACAAAAAAGGUUGUACUAUCUCUGUUUCUUGCGGGUACUCAGUUAUUACACUACCCACUCAGUUAUACUACCCUACAAAAAUACGUUCGCUUAGCCUGGAAGCAAGGAAGAUAUAUGCGUGCACUGCAAGUAUAUAAGCAAGCCCCCCUCCCUCCUCUACAUUCAUCCAUCAUACAAUCCAUCUUGAAGGUCUUAAUCUGUCAUAGAACCCUCUCGAUCUUUCACAAGAAAACUAAAUGGAUCGGUCCAUGAAGGUCUUUGUGGUCGUCUUCCUGCUCCUUGUGGCCACAGGUGUGUAUGCUGUACUUACUGUUUAAGAUAACUGAUAAUACUGCUAAAUUAUGUACCGAAACGUCGUAUAUUUUGGAACGGAGGUAGUAUGUGAGAUGGCUGAUUUGCUCUAUCAAUUUGCCCGUGUAGGGUUCCAGGGACCGGUGCAAGUAGCUUUGGCGAGGGAUUGUACUUCACAGAGCCACGAGUUUGUGGGGAUGUGCCUGAGUGACCGCAACUGUGCAAGUGUUUGCCAGACCGAGUAUUUCACCGGAGGCAAGUGCGACCACCGACGUUGUGUCUGCACCAAGGACUGCUAGAUGGCCCCUGUAAUCUUCUUGCACACAUGGUUCCGUGUAAUAAUAAUAAUAAUAAUAACUGAAUAAUAAUACUAGAUCUGCAUCUAUGCAUGUAUGAUGCAUAUGUGAGUGCUACUCCUAGAAAGUACAUGAACAUCAUAUAAUCCGAACAAAGUUUCAGCAGGGAACCAGUUCAAGUUGAAUAAUCCAACACUCCGGAACUGGAGCGGCUACCGUUCUCGGGACUGAAACGAAUAUAAGCUUAAAAACUGGAACAAAUGAGACAUGAAAUGUUACUAGAACUCUAGAAGUCUAGAAGGGAAGUCAUAUUUCGUAAGGAAGAAAGAAAAGUAAAUCGUGGGAGUAGACAUAGCACCACACCUGAAGAUUUGGCCAAGACUUGGUGAAGAACCAAAAGUACCUAAGAAUCUACACAGAUUACAAGAAUCGAACUUGCAGGAGUAACUUUUGCAGAAUUGCUGCUAUGUAUACAGAAGUAUUGUGGAGAUAAGAGAUCUAAGAAUCUAAUUCAACAAUCUACAUAUUUUAGACCAAUUCAAUUUUUUUCAAAAAGAGGGGACAUCCCUCGGCCUCUGCAUCAUACAACCUUUUAUUUAUCAUAUCAAAGUUCAUCAUCCAACCAUAACAAAGUUCAACUAAUAAAGUGUCGCAUAUGACUGCGCGAAGGGUAAAUAAAAUAGUAAAAAAAUCAUAGGAAAAUGGGCCUCAUGCAUCACAAAUCCUACUAGUAGGCCGCCAACCAAAUCGGUUGAACAAAUCCCGAGAGACCAUCUCCCAUCGGUUGCACCCAAAGACCGUGGGCACCCGAUCCUCCUCCUUGCAAUGUAAUGACCACGUAUGGAUCCAGCUGUAGCCUUGAAGAUAACCUGUAAAAAAUUCGGAACUUUCGUUCUGUUAAAAAUACAAUCAUUACAAGUGUUCCAAAUGGCCUAAAGUAAAGCACAAAUUCCCACACGGAUCUGAGACUUAAACUUGGGGUGCACCCCUACUAACCAGUUUCCAAACAUAUCCGUACUACUCGUAGGUGUAGGUAGGUUGAAAGCUAUAUGGGCCGUUCCCCAUAGUAGCUUGGCAAGUGGGCAUUGAAGAAAUAGAUGCUGAAUCGACUCCUCAUUGCCACAAAAGCAACACUUAGUGCAUCCUUGCCAAUCUCUUUUUUUCAGAUUAUCUUUUGUCAGGAUGACCUUGCGAUCCAAAUACCACAUGAAGAUUUUUAUUUUCAGUGGGACUUUAAUUUUCCAUAUAUACUUGCGGUGAAAAGGUUGUCCUCAUUGAUGAGGUCUGUAUGCAUGGAUUUGACUGUGAAGUCACCAGAAGUAGUUAACUUCCAACGGAAUGUGUCUGCUUCGUGUGAAACGUUAACCAUCAUCAACAUGCCAACAAGGUCUAACCAGUCUGUCCAUUUGUCCCCAGUCAGUUGUAUUCUAAAGGCAACAUUCAACGGUAUGUGGUCCAUCACAGAGACAACGGAGACAUCUUUCCGCUGCACAAUAUGAUAGAGACGGGGGUAUUGCAUGGCUAGUGGCAAUGUCCCCUAGCCAUGUAUCUUCCCAGAACCUUGUAGUUAGACCAUUUCCUACAAUGAACGUCCCUCUGCGAAAAAAAUCAUUUUUAACUCCCAUGAGUCCUUUCCAGAAAGGCGAGUCUGUUGGUUUUGCCUGAACCUCAGAGAGGGUUUUUGAAUGAAGGUACUUAUUCCUAAGUAAUUCUUGCCAAACCCCAUCCUCGGUAAGUAUCUUGUAAAGCCAUUUGCUCAACAAACACUUAUUUUUAGUCUCAAGGUCUUCCACCCCUAGACCUCCUUGGUCUUUAGGGCGACAGAUCACAUCCCACCUUGCCAGGCGGUAUUUACGCUUAUGUUCAUCAGACUGCCAGAAAAACCUGGAUCUGUAGUAAUCCAAUCUUUCUCUUACCCCUUUAGGUAUUUGAAAGAAAGAUAACAUGAACAUAGGUAAGCUUGUGAGAACGGCAUUGAUUAAGGUGAGCCUUGCCCCAUAAGACAUAAGCUUACCAAUCCAACAACUCAACUUUUUCUCAAAUCGAUCCUCAAUACCUUUCCAUUCCUUAUUAAGAAGUUUACGGAAAUGGAUUGGGAUACCAAGGUAUCUAAAGGGAAAAGAGACUGACUCACAACCAAAAGUUGUUUGUAUUGAUCCUCUUCUUCUUUGGCUUGUCCAAAGCACAAGAGUUCGCUCUUGUGGAAGUUAAUUUUGAGACCAGAUAACUGCUCGAAUAAACAAACAAUAAUUUUCAUAUUCUUUGCAUUUUCAAUGUCAUGUUCCAUGAAUAUGAUGGUGUCAUCGGCAUACUGAAGUACCGAUACCCCACCGUCCACAAGAUGAGGAAUUAAGCCCGCAACAUGACCUCCUUCCUUGGCUCGGCUAAUGAGAACCGCUAGAAGGUCUGCCACAAUGUUGAAAAGAAUAGGCGACAUAGGGCAUCCCUGUCGCAAACCCUUUUGUGUCUGGAAAUAGUGACCAAUGUCAUUAUUUACAUUGACACCUACGCCGCCCCCUUUCACAAAUGUGUUAAUCCAUUGGCACCAUUUUCUCGGGAAGCCUUUCAUGCGCAUACAUUGUUGCAAGAAUGGUCAUUUAACUUUGUCAUAGGCUUUUUCAAAAUCCACUUUGAAGACAACUCCAUCAAGUUUCUUCGAGUGUAACUCGUGAAUCGUUUCAUGCAAGACAACAACCCCCUCCAGGAUGUGUCUGAAGGAAAUAUGCCCUAGAGGCAAUAAUAAAGUUAUUAUUUAUUUCCUUAUUUCAUGAUAAAUGUUUAUUAUUCAUGCUAGAAUUGUAAUAACCGGAAACAUAAUACAUGUGUGAAUACAUAGACAAACAUAGUGUCACUAGUAUGCCUCUACUUGACUAGCUCGUUGAUCAAAGAUGGUUGAGUUUCCUAGCCAUAGACAUGAGUUGUCAUUUGAUUAACGGGAUCACAUCAUUAGGAAUGACGUGAUUGACUUGACCCAUUUCGUUAGCUUAGCACUUGAUCGUUUAGUUUACUGCUAUUGCUUUCUCCAUGACUUAUACAUGUUCCUAUGACUAUGAGACUGUCCAACUCCCGAAUACCAGAGGAACACUUUGUGUGCUACCAAACGUCACAAGGUAACUAGGUGAUUAUAAAGGUGCUCUACAGGUGUCUCCGAUGAUGUUCGUUGAGUUGGCAUAGAUCGAGAAUAGGAUUUGUCACUCCGAUUGUCGGAGAGGUAUCUCUGGGCCCUCUCGGUAAUGCACAUCACUAUAAGCCUUGCAAGCAAUGUGACUAAUGAGAUAGUUGCGGGAUGAUGCAUUACGGAAUGAGUAAAGAGACUUGCCGGUAACGAGAUUGAGCUAGGUAUUGAGAUACUGACGAUCGAAUCUCGGGCAAGUAACAUACCGAUGACAAAGGGAACAACGUAUGUUGUUAUGCGGUUUGACUGAUAAAGAUCUUCGUAGAAUAUGUAGGAACCAAUAUGAGCAUCCAGGUUCUGCUAUUGGUUAUUGACCGGAGACGUGUCUCGGUCAUGUCUACAUAGUUCUUGAACCCGUAGGGUCCGCACGCUUAACGUUCGGUGACGAUCGGUAUUAUGAGUUUAUGUGUUUUGAUGUACCGAAGGUAGUUCGGAGUCCCAGAUGAGAUCGGGGACAUGACGAGGAGUCUCGAAAUGGUCGAGACAUAAAGAUCGAUAUAUUGGACGACUAUAUUCGGACAUCGGAAAGGUUCCGAGUGGUUUGGGUAUUUAUCGGGGUACCGGAGAGUUACGGGAAUUCGCCGGGGAGUAUAUGGGCCUUAUUGGGCUUUAGGGGAAAGAGAGAAGGGAGGUUGCGCGCCCCCCAAGGCCUAGUCCAAAUUGGACUAGGGGGAGGGGCGGCGCCCCCUCCUUCCUUCUCUUCUCUUUUCCCUUUCCUUCUCUCCUACUCCUACUACAUGGAAGGGGGGAAUCCUACUCCCGGUGGGAGUAGGACUCCUCCAGGGCGCGCCAUAGCUAGGCCGGCCCUUCCCCCUCCUCCACUCCUUUAUAUACGUGGCCAGGGGGCACCCCAUAGACACACAGGUUGAUCAUUGAUCUCUCUUAGUCGUGUGCGGUGCCCCCCUCCACCAUAAUCCACCUCGGUCAUAUCGUAGCGGUGCUUAGGCGAAGCCCUGCGUCGGUAGCUUCAUCAACACCGUCACCAAGCCGUCGUGCUGAUGAAGCUCUCCCCCGAAGCUCUACUGGAUCGUGAGUUCGCGGGACGUCACCGAGCUGAAGUGUGCUGAACGCGGAGGUGUCGUACAUUCGGUACUGAGGAUCGGUCGAUCGUGAAGACGUACGACUACAUCAACCGCGUUGUCAUAACGCUUCCGCUUACGGUUUACGAUGGUACGUAGACGACACUCUCCCCUCUCGUUGCUAUGCAUCACCAUGAUCUUGCGUGUACAUAGGAAUUUUUUUGAAAUUACUACGUUCCCCAACAGUGGCAUCCGAGCCAGGUUUAUGCGUAGAUGUUAUAUGCACGAAUAGAACACAAGUGAGUUGUGGGCGAUACAAGUCAUAUUACUUACCAGCAUGUCAUACUUUGGUUCGGCGGUAUUGUUGGAUGAAGCGGCCCGGGCCGACAUUACGCGUACGCUUACGCGAGACUGGUUCUACUGACGUGCUUCGCACACAGGUGGCUGGCGGGUGUCCGUUUCUCCAACUUUAGUUGAAUCGAGUGUGGCUACGCCCGGUCCUUGUGAAGGUUAAAACAACACUAACUUGACGAAAUAUCGUUGUGGUUUUGAUGCGUAUGUAAGAACGGUUCUUGCUCAGCCCGUAGCAGCCACGUAAAACUUGCAACAAUAAAGUAGAGGACGUCUAACUUGUUUUUGCAGGGCAUGCUGUGAUGUGAUAUGGUCAAGACAUGAUGCUAAAUUUUAUUGUAUAAGAUGAUCAUGUUUUGUAACCGAGUUAUCGGCAACUGGCAGGAGCCAUAUGGUUGUCGCUUUAUUGUAUGAAAUGCAAUCGCCAUGUAAUUGCUUUACUUUAUCACUAAGCGGUAGCGAUAGUCGUAGAAGCAAUAGUUGAUGAGACGACAACGAUGCUACGAUGGAGAUCAAGGUGUCGCGCCGGUGACAAUGGUGAUCAUAACGGUGCUUUGGAGAUGGAGAUCAAAGGCACAAGAUGAUGAUGGCCAUAUCAUAUCACUUAUAUUGAUUGCAUGUGAUGUUUAUCCUUUAUGCAUCUUAUUCUGCUUUGUUUGACGGUAGCAUUAUAAGAUGAUCUCUCACUAAAUUUCAAGGUAAAAGUGUUCUCCAUGAGUAUGCACCGUUGCCAAAGUUCGUCGUGCCGAGACACCACGUGAUGAUCGGGUGUGAUAAGCUCAACGUUCAUCUACAAUGGGUGUAAGACAGUUUUGCACAUGCAGAAUACUCGGGUUAAACUUGACGAGCCUAGCAUAUGCAGAUAUGGCCUCGGAACACUGAGGCCGAAAGGUCGAGCGUGAAUCAUAUAGUAGAUAUGAUCAACAUAGUGAUGUUCACCAUUGAAAACUACUCCAUUUCACGUGAUGAUCGGUUGUGGUUUAGUUGAUAUGGAUCACGUGAUCACUUAGAUUAUUAGAGGGAUGUCUAUCUAAGUGGGAGUUCUUAAGUAAUAUGAUUAAUUGAACUUUAAUUUAUCAUGAACUUAGUCCUGGUAGUAUUAGCAAAUCUAUGUUGUAGAUCAAUAGCUCACGAUGUUGCUCCCCGUUUAUUUUGAUAUGUUCCUAGAGAAAAACUAUGUUGAAAGAUUUUAGUAGCAAUGAUGCGGACUUGGUCCGUGAUCUGAGGAUUAUCCUCAUUGAUGCACAGAAGAAUUAUGUCCUUGAUGCACCGCUAGGUGACGGACCUAUUGCAGGAGCAUAUGCAGACGUUAUGAAUGUUUGGCAAAGCUCGGCAUGAUGACUACUUGAUAGUUUAGUGCACCAUGCUUUACGGCUAAGAAUCGGGGCUUUAAAGACGUUUUGAACGCCACGGAGCAUAUUAGAUGUACCAAGAGUUGAAAUUAGCAUUUCAAACUCAUGCCCAUGUCGAAAGGUGUGAGACCUUUGACAAGUACUUUGCCUACAAGAUGGAGGAGAAUAGCUCAGCUAGUGAGCAUGUGCUCAGAAUGUCUGAGUACUACAAUCACUUGAAUCAAGUCGGAGUUAAUCUUCCAGAUAAGAUAGUGAUUGACAGAGUUCUCUAGUCACUAUCACCAAGUUACUAGAACUUCGUGAUGAACUAUAAUAUGCAAGGGAUAACGAAAACGAUUCCCAAGCUCUUCGUGAUGCUGAAAUAGACGAAGGUAGAAAUCAAGAAAAGUAUCAAGUGUUGAUGGUUGACAAGACCACUAGUUUCAAGAAAAGGGCAAAGGGAAGAAGGAACGGCAAGCAAGUUGCUGCUCCCGUGAAGAAGCCCAAAGCUAGACGCAAGUCUGAAACUGAGUGAUUCUACUGCAAAGGAAAUGGUCACUGGAAGUGGAACUGCCCUAGAUACUUGGCAGAUAAGAAGGAUGGCAAAGUAAACAAAGGUAUAUUGGAUAUACAUGUUAUUGAUGUGUACUUUACUAGUGUUUAUAGCAACUCCUCGGCAUUUGAUACUGAUUCAGUUGCUAAGAGUAGUAACUCGAAACGGGAGUUGCAGAAUGAACAGAAACUAGUUAAGGGCGAGGUGACGAUGUGUGUUGGAAGUAGUUCCAAGAUUGAUAUGAUCAUCAUCGCACACUCCCUAUACUUUCGGGAUUAGUGUUGAACCUAAAUAAGUGUUAUUUGGUGUUUGCGUUGAGCAUGAAUAUGAUUUGAUCAUGUUUAUUGCAAUACGGUUAUUCAUUUAAGUUAGAGAAUAAUUGUUGUUCUGUUUACAUGAAUAAAACCUUCUAUGGUCAUACACCCAAUGAAAAUGGUUUGUUGGGUCUCGAUCGUAGUGAUACACAUAUUCAUAAUAUUGAAGCCAAAAGAUGCAAAGUUAAUAAAGAUAGUGCAACUUAUUUGUGGCACUGUCGUUUAGGUCAUAUUGGUGUAAAGCGCAUGAAUAAACUCCAUGCUGAUGGGAUUUUGGAAUCACUUUAUUAUGAAUCACUUGAUGCUUGCGAACCAUGCCUUAUGGGCAAGAUGACUAAAACUUCGUUCUCCGGAACAAUGGAGCGAGCAACUGACUUAUUGGAAAUAAUACAUACUGAUGUAUGAAAUCCGAUGAGUGUUGAGGCUCGCGGCGGGUAUCGUUAUUUUCUGACCUUCACAGAUGAUUUGAGCAGAUAUGGGUAUAUAUACUUGAUGAAACAUAAGUCUGAAACAUUUGAAAAGUUCAUAUAAUUUCAAAGUGAAGUGGAAAAUCAUCGUAACAAGAAAAUAAAGUUUAUACGAUCUGAUCGCGGAGGGGAAUAUUUGAGUUACGAGUUUGGUCUUCAUUUGAAACAAUGCAGAAUAGUUUCGCAACUCACGCCACCUGUGUGAUGCCCGGAUAAUUAUGCUACAGUAAACCUACGCUAAUGAUGCCACGUCACCUCUGUUAGUGUUGAUAAUCUCGCGUUAGUUCAAAAACCAAUUCAAAUUCAAAAUUAAAUAAAAGGCAAACAACAAAAGUUUUCAAACUUUAAAACUAAAAUGUUCGGGUUGUGCCAAAUAAUGCGUAGGUAAUUAUGGUGGAGAACCACACUUUUAUAAAAAUGUUCAAAUAUUCAAAUGGUAAUAAAACAGUAGCAAAACUAUUAUUUAAAUACUUUAAAUACUCAACAAUUACAAAAUAUUUUAUUUAGGUGCCAAGUUAAUUGUGGCAGUGGACUAAUUAGUAAUACUAAUUUAGGUGCUCAUUUGGCAUUUUACAAAACUAAAAUAAAAUGUAACUAAAAUAAAACAGAAAAGAAACACACACAAAAAUGAAAAAAAAAAACCCGGCCAAUUGGGCUUUGGCCCACCAGGCCGCACCCACCGGGCCGCCAGGCCGGCCCACCCUGCCGCGGACUCCCCCCACUCCCCUUAUCCACUCACCCGNNNNNNNNNNNNNNNNNNNNNNNNNNNNNNNNNNNNNNNNNNNNNNNNNNNNNNNNNNNNNNNNNNNNNNNNNNNNNNNNNNNNNNNNNNNNNNNNNNNNNNNNNNNNNNNNNNNNNNNNNNNNNNNNNNNNNNNNNNNNNNNNNNNNNNNNNNNNNNNNNNNNNNNNNNNNNNNNNNNNNNNNNNNNNNNNNNNNNNNNNNNNNNNNNNNNNNNNNNNNNNNNNNNNNNNNNNNNNNNNNNNNNNNNNNNNNNNNNNNNNNNNNNNNNNNNNNNNNNNNNNNNNNNNNNNNNNNNNNNNNNNNNNNNNNNNNNNNNNNNNNNNNNNNNNNNNNNNNNNNNNNNNNNNNNNNNNNNNNNNNNNNNNNNNNNNNNNNNNNNNNNNNNNNNNNNNNNNNNNNNNNNNNNNNNNNNNNNNNNNNNNNNNNNNNNNNNNNNNNNNNNNNNNNNNNNNNNNNNNNNNNNNNNNNNNNNNNNNNNNNNNNNNNNNNNNNNNNNNNNNNNNNNNNNNNNNNNNNNNNNNNNNNNNNNNNNNNNNNNNNNNNNNNNNNNNNNNNNNNNNNNNNNNNNNNNNNNNNACGCCCUGCCUCGCUCCGGGGACGCGCUCGUCGCGCCCGCGACCUCCCGUGGCCGCGCCCGGAGUUCUUCUCCCCCUGCGCCUGCUCCAUUCCCUCCGCGCCCUGGCCGCACCCACCGGCGCCCAGCCGCGCGUGCCCGUCUCGCUCCACCGUGGCCGUGGUCGCCGACCGGGUUCGCCACCUCGUCGCCUCGGGUCCGCCCGAUGGGUGCCUCGCCUGCAACGGCGCCCGUUGCCCAGCGCCCGCUCGGGUGACACCCGCACCCGAGCGCCCGAACCCGUUAAGGCCCCUAGCCCAAUGACAGGGGGGCCCCGCCCCUAAAACGUUUAAAAAAAGAAUAAAAAAAUAAAAAAAUAUUAAUUAAUUAAUUAACUAAAUUAAUUAACUUAGUUAAUUGAGUUUGAUUAACUUAAUCAAUUAACUAAACUAAUUAAUCAUGAUUAGUUAGUCUAGUGUAUGACAUGCGGGACCCACACAUAGUUGACCCAGUCAACUGCACAGUUGACUGCUGACGUCAGCAUGAUGACAUGCUGACGUCAUCUUUUACUAUUCUGGAUAAUGUUGAUUAAAUUAAUUAAAUAAAUCCUAAAAAUGAUUUAAAUCUUUAAAAAUUAAUAUAAAAUAAUCCGUAGCUCGGAUGAAAAAACUUUGUACAUGAAAGUUGCUCAGAACGACGAGACGAAUCCGAAUACGUAGUUCGUUCGUCCGCCACGCGUCCCUAGCAUAGUGAACCUGCAACAUUUCACCUCCGGUUCAUCUGUCCGAAAACGUGAAACACCGGGGAUAUUUUCCCGGAUGUUUCCCCCCUUCGCCGGUAUCACUUACUACCGCGUUAGGGCAUACCUAGCACCGCGUUUUGCCUCCUUAUGUUUUGUGAUGCUUUGUUUGCUCCGUAUUUACUGUUUUUCCCCCUCUCCUUCUCCGGUAGACUACGAGACCGACGCUGCUGCUACCCAGUUCGGCUACGGAGUUGACGGCCCCUCCUUCUUGCCAGAGCAACCAGGCAAGCCCCCCCUUGAUCACCAGAUAUCGCCUAUUCUUCUCUAUACUGUUUGCAUUAGAGUAGUGUAGCAUGUUACUGCUUCCCGUUAAUCCUAUCCUAAUGCAUAGCCUGUCAUUGUUGCUACAGUUGUUACCCUUACCUGCUAUCCUACUGCUUAGAAUAGGAUGCUAGUUUAUUCCAUCAGUGGCCCUACACUCUUGUCCGUCUGCCAUGCUAUACUACUGGGCCGUGAUCACUUUGGGAGGUGAUCACGGGUAUAUACUAUAUACAUUAUAUACAUGACACAUGUGGUGACUAAAGUCGGGUCGGCUCGAGGAGUACCCGCAAGUUAUUCUGAUGAGGGGGCUGAAAGGACAGGUGGCUCCACCCCGGUAGAGGUGGGCCUGGGUUCCUGACGGCCCCCGACUGUUACUUUGUGGCGGAGCGACAGGGCAGGUUGAGACCACCUAGGAGAGAGGUGGGCCUGGCCCUGGUCGGUGUUCGCAGAUACUUAACACGCUUAACGAGUUCUGGGUAUUUGAUCUGAGUCUGGCCAUUUGGUCUAUACGCACUAACCAUCUACGCGGGAGUAGUUAUGGGUAUCCCGCGUCGUGGUAUCAGCCGAAGCUCUUUUUGACGUCAUCGACUGAGUGGUGCGCGCCGCAUUGGACCGUAAGCUCGCGCUUGUAUUAAGGGGGCUAGGUCUGCUUCCGGCCGCGUACGCAACGUGCAGGUGUGCAUAGGGCGAUGGGCCCAGACCCCUGCGUGCAUAGGGUUUAGACCGGCGUGCUGACCUCUCUGUUGAGCCUAGGUGGGGCUGCGACGUGUUGAUCUUCCGAGGCCGGGCAUGACCCAGAAAAGUGUGUCCGGCCAAAUGGGAUCGAGCGUGUUGGGUUAUGUGGUGCACCCCUGCAGGGAAGUUUAUCUAUUCGAAUAGCCGUGUCCCUCGGUAAAAGGACGACCCGGAGUUGUACCUUGACCUUAUGACAACUAGAACCGGAUACUGAAUAAAAUACACCCUUCCAAGUGCCAGAUACAACCCGGUGAUCGCUCUCUAACAGGGCGAUGAGGAGGGGAUCGCCGGGUAGGAUUAUGCUAUGCGAUGCUACUUGGAGGACUUCAAACUACUCUCUUCUACAUGCUGCAAGAUGGGGAUGGCCAGAAGCGUAGUCUUCGACAGGAUUAGCUAUCCCCCUCUUAUUUUGGCAUUCUGCAGUUCAGUCCACUGAUAUGCCCUUUACACAUAUACCCAUGCAUAUGUAGUGUAGCUCCUUGCUUGCGGGUACUUUGGAUGAGUACUCACGGUUGCCUUUCUCCCUCUUUUCCCCCCUUUCCUUUCUACUUGGUUGUCGCAACCAGAUGCUGGAGUCCAGGAGCCAGACGCCACUGUCGACGACGACUCCUACGACACUGGAGGUGCCUACUACUACGUGCAUCCCGCUGACGACGACCAGGAGUAGUUAGGAGGAUCCCAGGCAGGAGGCCUGCGCCUCAUUCGGUCUGUAUCCCAGUUUGUGCUAGCCUUCUUAAGGCAAACUUGUUUAACUUAUGUCUGUACUCAGAUAUUGUUGCUUCCGCUGACUCGUCUGUGAUCGAGCACUUGUAUUCGAGCCCUCGAGGCCCCUGGCUUGUAUUAUGAUGCUUGUAUGACUUAUUUAUGUUGUAGAGUUGUGUUGUGAUAUCUUCCCGUGAGUCCCUGAUCUUGAUCGUACACAUUUGCAUGCAUGAUUAGUGUACGGUCAAAUCGGGGGCGUCACAACCUGGAACACCACAGCGUAAUGGAGUGUCCGAACAUUGUAACCGUACUUUAUUAGAUAUGGUGCAAUCUAUGAUGUCUCUUACCGAUUUACCACUAUCAUUUUGUGGUUAUGCAUUAGAGACAGCUGCAUUCACGUUAAAUAGGGCACCAUCUAAAUCCGUUGAGACGACACCAUAUGAACUGUGGUUUGGCAAGAAACCAGAGUUGUCGUUUCUUAAAGUUUGGGGUUGCGAUGCUUAUGUGAAAAGGUUUCAUCUUUAUAAGCUCGAACCCAAAUCGGAGAAAUGUGUGUUCAUAGGAUACCUAAAGGAGACUGUUGGAUACACCUUCUAUCACAGGUCCGAAGGCAAGACAUUCGUUAUUAAGAAUGGAUCCUUUCUAGAGAAGGAGUUUCUCUCGAAAGAAGUGAGUGGGAGGAAAGUAGAACUUGAUGAGGUAAUUGUACCUGCUCUCUUAUUGGAAAGUAGUUCAUCACAGAAAUCUGUUCAUGUGACUCCUACACCAAUUAGUGAGGAAGCUAAUGAUGAUGAUCAUAUAACUUCAGAUCAAGGUACUACCGAACCUCGUAGGUCAACCAGAGUAAGAUCCGCACCAGAGUGGUACGGUAAUCCUGUUCUGGAGGUCAUGUUACUUGACCAUGACGAACCUACGAACUAUGAGAAAGCGAUGAUGAGCCCAGAUUCCGCAAAAUGGCUUGAGGCCAUGAAAUCUGAGAUGGGAUCCAUGUAUGAGAACAAAGUGUGGACUUUGGUUGACUUCCCCGAUGAUCGGCAAGCCAUAGAAAAUAAAUGGAUCUUCAAGAAGAAGACUGACGCUGACGGUAAUGUUACUGUCUACAAAGCUCGACUUGUUGCGAAAGGUUUUCAACAAGUUCAAGGGGUUGACUACGAUGAGACUUUCUCACCCGUAGCUAUGCUUAAGUCUGUCCGAAUCAUGUUAGAAGUUGCCGCAUUCUAUGAUUAUGAAAUUUGGCAAAUGGAUGUCAAAACUGCAUUCAUGAAUGGAUUUCUAGAAGAAGAGUUGUAUAUGAUGCAACCAGAAGGUUUUGUCGAUCUUAAAGGUGCUACCAAAAUGUGCAAGCUCCAGCAAUCCAUCUAUGGACUGGUGCAAGCAUCUCGGAGUUGGAAUAUACGCUUUGAUGAGUUGAUCAAAGCAUAUAGUUUUAUACAGGCUUGCGGUGAAGCCUGUAUUUACAAGAAAGUGAGUGGGAGCACUACACCAUUUCUGAUAAGUAUAUGUAAAUGACAUAUUGUUAAUCGAAAAUAAUGUAGAAUUUUCUGGAAAGCAUAAAGGAGUAUUUGAAAGGAGUUUUUCAAAGAAAUACCUCGGUGAAGCUGCUUACAUAUUGAGCAUCAAGAUCUAUAGAGAUAGAUCAAGACGCUUGAUAAGUUUUUUCAAUGAGUACAUACCUUGACAAGUUUUUGAAGUAGUUAAAGAAAGAGUUCUUGCCUGUGUUGCAAGGUGUGAAGUUGAGUAAGACUCAAAGCCCGACCACGACAGAAGAUAGAAAGAGAAUGAAAGUCAUUCCCUAUGCCUCAACCAUAGGUUCUAUAAAGUAUGUCAUGUUGUGUACCAGAUCUAUUGUAUACCCUACACUGAGUUUAGCAAGGGAGUACAAUAGUGAUCUAGGAGUAGAUCACUGGAUAGCGGUCAAAAUUAUCCUUAGUGGAAUAAGGAUAUGUUUCUCGAUUAUGGAGGUGACAAAAGGUUCGUCGUAAAGGGUUACGUCGAUGCAAGUUUUGAUGUUGAUCCAGAUGACUCUAAGUCUCAAUCUGGAUGCAUAUUGAAAGUGGGAGCAAUUAGCUAGAGUAGCUCCGUGCAGAGCAUUGUUGACAUAGAAAUUUGCAAAAUACAUACGGAUCUGAAUGUGGCAGACCCGUUGACUAAACUUCUCUCACAAGCAAAACAUGAUCACACCUUAGUACUCUUUGGGUGUUAAUCAUAUGGCGAUGUGAACUAGAUUACUGACUCUAGUAAACCCUUUGAGUGUUGGCCACAUGGCGAUGUGAACUAUGGGUGUUAAUCACAUGGUGAUGUGAACUAUUGGUAUUAAAUCACAUGACGAUGUGAACCAGAUUAUUGACUCUAGUGCAAGUGGGAGACUGAAGGAAAUAUGCCCUAGAGGCAAUAAUAAAGUUAUUAUUUAUUUCCUUAUUUCAUGGUAAAUGUUUAUUAUUCAUGUUAGAAUUGUAUUAACCGGAAAUAUAAUACAUGUGUGAAUACAUAGACAAACAUAGUGUCACUAGUAUGCCUCUACUUGACUAGCUCGUUGAUCAAAGAUGGUUGAGUUUCCUAGCCAUAGACAUGACUUGUCAUUUGAUUAACGGGAUCGCAUCAUUAGGAAUGAUGUGAUUGACUUGACCCAUUUCGUUAGCUUAGCACUCGAUCGUUUAGUAUGUUGCUAUUGCUUUCUUCAUGACUUAUACAUGUUCCUAUGACUAUGAGAUUAUGCAACUCCCGUUUACCGGAGGAACACUUUGUGUGCUACCAAACGUCACAACGUAACUGGGUGAUUAUAAAGGUGCUCUACAGGUGUCUUCGAUGGUGUUCGUUGAGUUGGCAUAGAUCGAGAAUAGGAUUUGUCACUCCGAUCGUCGGAGAGGUAUCUCUGGGCUCUCUCGGUAAUGCACAUCACUAUAAGCCUUGCAAGCAAUGUGACUAAUGAGAUAGUUGCGGGAUGAUGCAUUACGGAACGAGUAAAGAGACUUGCCGGUAACGAGAUUGAGCUAGGUAUUGAGAUACCGACGAUCGAAUCUCGGGCAAAUAACAUACCGAUGACAAAGGGAACAAUGUAUGUUGUUAUGCGAUUUGACCGAUAAAGAUCUUCGUAGAAUAUGUAGGAACCAAUAUGAGCAUCCAGGUUCCGCUAUUGGUUAUUGACCGGAGACGUGUCUCGGUCAUGUCUACAUAGUUCUCGAACCCGUAGGGUCCGCACGCUUAACGUUCGGUGACGAUCAGUAUUAUGAGUUUAUGUGUUUUGAUGUACCGAAGGUAGUUCGGAGUCCCACAUGACAUCGGGGACAUGACGAGGAGUCUCGAAAUGGUCGAGACGUAAAGAUCGAUAUAUUGGACCACUAUAUUCGGACAUCGGAAAGGUUCCGAGUGGUUCGGGUAUUUAUCGGAGUACCGGAGAGUUACGGGAAUUCGUCGGGGAGUAUAUGGGCCUUAUUGAGAUCUAGGGGAAAGAGAGAAGGGAGGUUGCGCGUCCCCCCAAGGCCUAGUCCGAAUUGGACUAGGGGGAGGGGCGGCGCCCCCUCCUUCCUUCUCUUCUCUUUUCCCUUUCCUUCUCUCCUACUCCUACUACAUGGAAGGGGGGGAAUCCUACUACCGGUGGGAAUAGGACUCCUCCAGGGCGCACCAUAGCUAGGCCGGCCCUCCCCCCUCCUCCACUCCUUUAUAUACGUGGUCAGGGGGCACCCCAUAGACACACAAGUUGAUCAUUGAUCUCUCUUAGCCGUUUGCAGUGUCCCCCUCCACCAUAAUCCACUUCGGUCGUAUCGUAGUGGUGCUUAGGCGAAGCCCUGCGUCGGUAGCUUCAUCAACACCGUCACCACGCCGUCGUGCUGACGAAGCUCUUCCUCGAAGCUCUACUGGAUCAUGAGUUCGCGGAACGUCACCGAGCUGAACGUGUGCUGAACACGGAGGUGUCGUACGUUCGGUACUGAGGAUCGGUCGAUCGUGAAGACGUACGGCUACAUCAACCACGUUGUCAUAACGCUUCCGCUUACGGUCUACGAGGGUACGUAGAUGACACUCUCCCCUCUCGUUGCUAUGCAUCACCAUGAUCUUGCGUGUACGUAGGAAUUUUUUUGAAAUUACUACGUUCCCCAACAGUGUCGCCCUGGCAUGAACGCUGACUGGGUCGGUCUCACCACUUUCGUGAAUAUUUUGAAACUUACAUUUAGAAGACAAGUUGGUCGAAACUGCUGAAUCUUAAUAGCAUCUUCCUUCUUAGGAAGAAGGGUAAUAAUACCAAAAUUUAACUUAUACAAAGCUAAAUUCUCAUUAUAUAAUUCAGCAAAUAUAGGCAAAAAGUCGCCUUUUAUGACCGUCCAGAACAUCUGAUAGAACUCCGCCGGGAACCCAUCUGGUCCCAUCCGCUGAAAGAGAAAAAGAAAAAAUUAGACCAAUUCAUUAUGUUGACCUGAAGGACAAAGAAAGUAACACCCCAGAUCUACUGUCCAGACUCACAUACCUCAGUGACAGGACAAGAUAUGCCAAGAUGGACGACAGUGGGGCUGAGGAACCCCACUUCCCUCUACUCCCGCCUACGCCUGCAUGUGUAAGUAGCUUGGGAGCUUCGAACACUGUUUUUUUCACCUGGAUUUUCAUUAAAAAAAGAGGCCAAUAUACCUCGAGAGGUACACACACAGAGAGAGAGGGUGCAACACUGUUUUUUCUCUCUUCUGCAUCAACUGUAUAGUCUGUCUAACUAUGGGCGUGUUCGGAUGCUCUCCGCUCCCGGAGUUGGUGGAGCGACGCCGAACAGGUAAACUCCGUGGAGUAGAAAACGGGGAGUGGAGCUGGUUACAGGCGAAAAAUGCGGAGCUACUAUUUCUGAGGUCUCAGAUCUUUAAAUCAAGGAGUUGAUAAGAUUUACGAAGAAACUGCCACCGCCAAGUGAAAACGGUUCGCGACCCACGCCCAGCUCGCUCGUUCCUGUUUCUCUGCCGAGCUCCACGUGAAUAGGGAGCAGAGUUGCUUGCCGAACAUCUCGUACUAGCGCUAUUUUCUACACGGAGUGGCAUUUCUGGUGGAGAAGCGGGAGUUGAGGAUUCAGAGGAGCUGGAGCAUCUCCGCCCUAUAUAUGAGAUUUGUGAUUUUCAGAAGUGUCAUUUUAUAACGGAGGCUUCCACAUAUUUUCGUCUUGGUUUGUGCACAGCCAAGAAAAACUUCUUACAUAUAAAUUUAGCCCAAAAGAUAGCAGUAAACCAAUCCAGAUAUGUCGCGAACAUUUUCUAAUUUCCUAAUUGUUUUUGAAUUUCUGAAUUAAAUCUGAAAAUGGGGAGAAUUUUUGAAAUUCUAAAUAGUUUUCGAAAAGCAAGAACUAUUUUUGAAAUUUCCAAAAAAAUCAAAAACACAAUUAUUUUUAAUUUGUGAACAAAAUUUGAAAACAGAAACAUGUUUUGAAUUUUUCAAACAUUUGUUAACAUUUUAAACAAUAUUGGAAUGCCAAAAAAUUUAAUUUUUUAAAAGAAACUUGAAAAGGAAAAGAAGUAAAAAAAAGGAAAAGGAAAAAAACCAUAAAAACCAGGUACAAUUAGAAAACAGUUUAGGAACCUUCUAGACGGUUUCCCAAAGCGGUCAGGUUGGGAGCACCUAUUGGACGCUCUUUGCAUCCAACAGCGCGCUGCCGCACAGACAGACCCACAACUGGGCCGGCCCACGAACAGGAAACAAACGAGAGCGCGACAUAAAAAAAACAGGAAACGAACAUGGCGCUGACAGGUGUCGAACUUGCAACUUUUGAUUCACAACGUUCGCAACCAGCCACUAGAACAUACAGCUGUUUCUGCUAUAACUGAAGCGCGAUUUGUUUCUUAAUCUCACUAAAGUGGCACCUUAAAAACAAUCUUCACAAAAUUUCGAACGUUUCUUGAAAAUUUACGAAAACAACUAAAUGUCAAAUUUUGUUCUAAAAAUGAUAAUAUUUUUGUAAUUCCAAACAAUUUUUUAUUCUGCAUAUUUUUUGAAAAUCGUGAAAACCUGAACAUUUUCUAUUUGUGAAUUUUUUCAAAAAAAGAAAACAAUUUUCGAAAAUCUAAACAAAAUUAGAAAACACGAACAUAUUUUUAAAUCCGCAAACAUUUUUUUAAUUCACAAACAUAUUUUAUAUCAAUGAACAGAUUUUUAUCUAUGAACAAUUUUAGAAAAUGAGAAUAUUUUCAUUGGGAAACACAAACAAGUUUCGAAGUUCUAAACAAAAUUAAAAAAUGAGAACAAAAAUUAACCUCUGGAAAGAUUUUUUUAAAAUACAAACAAAUUUUGAAACACUGAAAUUUUUGAAAACAUGAAUAAUUUUUGAAAUUCUGAAUAUUUAUUGAAAUUGUGAACAAAAUUUGAAACUCUGGACAUUUUAUAAAAACCUGAAGAAAAUUUAGGAAAACAAUAAAAUGACAAAUUUUGUACCGAAAACGAUAAUAUUUUCAUAAUUCCAACCAAUUUUGUACUAUGUAUAUUUUUUGAAAAUCGUGAAAUCCCAAAAAGUAUUUGAUUUGUGAUUUUUUCAGAAAAAGGAAAUAGUUUUCGAAAUUCCACAAAAUUAGAAAACACGAACAUAUUUUGAAAUCUGCGAACAUUUUAAAUUUCGCAUACAUCUUUUAUAUCUAUGAACAACUUUUGAUCUAUGAACAAUUUUAGUAAACGAGAACAUUUUUAUUGGAAAACACAAUCAAACUUUGAAAAAUAAAACAAGUUUCGAAGUUCUAAACAAAAUUUAAAAAAUGAGAACAAAAAUUAACCACCGGAAUUUUUUUAGAAAAUUUAAACAAAUUUUGAAACACUGAAUUUUUUGAAAACAUGAAUAAUUUUUUUAAUUCAGAACAUUUAUUGAAAUUGUGAACAAAAUUUGAAACUCUGGACAUUUUAUGAAAACCUGAAGAAAAUUUAGGAAAACAAUAAAAUGCCAAAUUUUGUUCCGAAAACGAUAAUAUUUUUGUAAUUCCAACCAUUUUUGUACUCCGCAUAUUUUUUGAAAAUCGUGAAAUCCCAAAAAGUAUUUGAUUUGCGAUUUUUUUCCAAAAAAAGGAAACAAUUUUCGAAAUUCCAAACAAAAUUAGAAAACAUGAACAUAUUUUGAAAUCUGCAAACAUUUUUAAUUUCGCAAACAUCUUUUAUAUCUAUGAACAACUUUUGAUCUAUGAACAAUUUUAGUAAAUGAGAACAUUUUUAUUGGAAAACACAAACAAACUUUGAAAAAUUAGAUCAAAUUUUGAAAUUCUAAACAAAUGUCUAAAAAUGAGAACAAAAAAUAACAUUCCGAACAAUUUUUCAGAAACACAAACAAAUUUUGAAACACUAAUUUUUUUGAAAACAUGAACAAUUGUUGAAAUUUAGAACAUUUUUUUACAUUUGAACGAAAUUUGAAACUCUGAACAUUUUAUGAAAACAUUGAGAAUACAUGAUGAUUUUAUGAAAACAUGAAGAAUACAUGAUGAUUUUAUGAAAACAUGAAGAAUACAUGAACAUUUUUUGAAAUGCAAGAAACUUUUUAAUACACUAAAAUAUUUUGAAUAUGUGAACAUUUUUUUUGGUAACACAGACAAUCUUGUAAAAAAUAGAACAUAUUUUGAAAUUACCACACUUUUUUUGAAUUUGUGAACUAAAUUGCGAAAUGGGAAUAUUUAUUAAAAUUAAGAAACAUAUUUUGGAUUUGUGAACAAAAGUUUGAAACGAGAACAUAUUUUGAAAUUUAGUAACAUUUUCGGAUUUUAUGAACCAAUUGUUUCAUAAUGUUAACAUUUUCUGAAGUCCUAAAUUUUUUAUGGAUUUGUGAAUUUUUUUUAUAUCCCAACUUUGUUGGAAAAGAAAAAAACGAAAAAAAAGACAGAAAAAGAAAGAAAGAAACAGAAGCAGAAAAACGAAAAAAGAAAAAACUGUACAAGGAACCUUCUAAACGUUUCCCAAAACUAGAAAAAACGGCUGGGAAUCUUCUAGAACUUUCACAAAAUCGGAACUCCCAAGCGAUUGAAACAGUGGGAGAUGGGCCCGCCCAUGUGGUUGCGCACCUGUGCGAUUACCCGACACUGACGCAGAGAGCGUCCAAUAGGGUUUUGGGGGUCCCUAGCUGACGCUCGCGAGCGUCAAUCUGACGUACUUUCGCGCAGGGUGCGGUCUUAACGGGCCAGCCCAUUCCGUGGCGUUCAUAUCGAGUCGCUACUUAAAAUCCAUAAAAAUGGACGCAUUCUUGAGGAAUCGAACUCGCCACCACACGAUACAAAAUACCUGUUCCUUACCAGUUGAGCUUGCAAGUUUCAAUGUCUUUUAGACUGCGCGCGUAUUUAAGAACUAGAUACAGAGGUAGAUAAAAAAAGCCACUAAAAAAAGGUAGAUAAAAGAAAGAUCGAAUUUUGAACCAUUUACUAUUUUCAAAUAUACAUUUAAUAUACUUUGAUAUACGAUGACCAAUAUUUAAAUACACAUUGAACAUAUUUUUAUAUAUGCUGAACAAUAUAUAUAUUGAACUUUUUUAGAUAUAUACACUGAACAAUUUUUCACACAAUGAUCAUUUUUUCAAUAUACAUUGAACAAUAUUUAAAUACACAUUGAACAAUUUUUGUGAUAUACGCUGAACAAUUUUUGCAUUGUGCACAAAUUUCGAAAAAGUGAAAAGAAUUUGAUAACUGUGAACAAUUUCCGAAAUCAUGAACAAAAAUUAGAAUAUCCAAUAGUUUUUGAAAACAAAGGUUAAAAAAUGAAAAAAGGUAGAAUAAAGUGGGAAAACAAAGAAAUAGGAGCAGAAACUAAAGAGGAAAAAGGAAAAAAAAUACAGGAAAGAGAAAAAAAGGAAAAUGGCAAAAGAAAAAAAAAGGAAAAACCGAUUGAGGGAACCUUCCAGAAGGUUCCCAAAACCGGUUUGCCUCGCAGUGCUAUUAGCGCUCGCAGUGGGCCGGCCGUUUCGCGGUGCUCGCUCGCCUGCUUCAGCGGAAUUGCAGCAGUUCGACGGACGCGCGCGAGAGCUCCUGUUCGGCGCCUUAAGCGCCCGAACAGGUAGCUGGCGCCCGCGCGCCCCACCGCAUGGGCCGGCCCAGCAAGCUGCAAAAAAGCAAUUCGUGCAGGAAAGGAAAAAGCGUGAGAACCGAGAUUCGAACUGCAACCACCAAUGUGAAUGCCUACAAGCGUUACCGCUGGGACACCCUCAGUUAGUUGAUUACUAGUGGAACAAAAUCUCAUUUGGCCACUCAUUCAGUACAAACCGUGAAUUUGAAUAAGUAUAAUAUAUACAAGUAUUAUAUAUCCACUAUACUAAUUUGAAUAAAGAAAACAUAAAUUUGAAAAGGCAUUCAUAAAAACUGUGAAUUGAAAGAAAUCAAAUAUUUUCAAAAAGGUUUGUACCAAUGGGAAAAAAUUCGCAAAAAGGAAAAAUUUCAUGAAUUUUAAAAAAGUUCAUCAAAUUUGAAAAAAAGCUCAUUGAAUCUGAUUAAAGUUCAUCAAAAAUUUUAAAAGGUUCAUCAAAUUGGAAAAAAAGUUCAUCCAAUCUGAAAAAAAGUUCAUCGGAUUUUGAAAAAAGUUGAUCGAAUCUGAAAAAAGUUCAUCGUAUCUGAAAAAAGUUCACAAAAUUAUAAAAAGGUUCAUUAUUUUUGAAAAAAGUGCAUAAAUUCUGAAAAAGGUUCACAAAAAAUUGAAGAAAGUUCAUCGAUUUUGAAAAAAAGUUCACUAAUUUUGAAAAAAAAUUCAUCAAUUUUGAAAAGGUUCACGAAUUUAAGAAAAGAAAAAAGAAAAAUGAAAAAGGAAAGGAACGAAAGUAGAAAUAAAAUGAAAGCGAGAAGUUAUCAAACAAGGUCGUUGUGGCCGCCUGGUUAGUCGACUUACUCGAGUAAGUCACCACGCCCGUGUUUUUGCAGAAAUUGCAGUUUUAACACACACAAAAAAUCUAUAACGGGCUGGCCCAGGUCGGAGUUGGGGGUGUGCGCCGGUUUGCGAUUAACACAGUAACGGGCGCAGCGGGCGCCAAAUAGGAAACAGCCACGCGCGCGUCAAAUAGGGUUCGCCUAGGGUUUUCCCAGGAACCUUUCCUGAACCGAGAUCGGUCGAACACUUUACGGGCCGGCCCAGAACGCUCGCUCGGUGGUCUCGAAGCGUCGAUAAGUCGAUAAAAAGAGCGCGAAUGCUAUUUGUUGCAGUAAGCAAGCCGGUAACUCUCUCGCUGCGACCUUGACCAGUAACUGGCCGGCCCACUUGCGCACCCUUCGAAGGAAAAUACCGAAAAAAAAGGGAGUAGCACGGGGGGAGGGGGUGUUCGAACCGUGGCUGCUAAAACAAUUUUCACCACGGCUAGCCACCUGCUACAGUCGGGUUUGUGAACACAUAAUAGUGCGGGACGUAGUUGAGGCGAACUUAGCCCGAGUUUCAUUGGUUUUUUCUUUUUUUUUGUUUUUUGACAGGGUUUUCUUUGUUUUUGUUUUUGUUCCUUUUUUAUUAUUCAUUUUUUUCCUUUUUCUUCUCCACUUUUUUGGUUUUAUUUUUCUUCUCCNNNNNNNNNNNNNNNNNNNNNNNNNNNNNNNNNNNNNNNNNNNNNNNNNNNNNNNNNNNNNNNNNNNNNNNNNNNNNNNNNNNNNNNNNNNNNNNNNNNNNNNNNNNNNNNNNNNNNNNNNNNNNNNNNNNNNNNNNNNNNNNNNNNNNNNNNNNNNNNNNNNNNNNNNNNNNNNNNNNNNNNNNNNNNNNNNNNNNNNNNNNNNNNNNNNNNNNNNNNNNNNNNNNNNNNNNNNNNNNNNNNNNNNNNNNNNNNNNNUUUUUUCACUCUACAUUUUUGUAUAUGUCAAAAAAAAUUAAUAAGUGAUCAAUAUUUUUUGUAUACACGUUCAACAUUGUCCAAAUUUCAAAUACUUGUUCAACAUUUUUUCGAAUACAUGUUCAUCAUAUUUCAAAUACUCAUUCAACAUUGUUUUAAUACUUAUUCAAAAAAAUUCAACUUCUUGUUCAACAUUUUUAAUGCUUAUUCAACAUUAUAAAAUCCUUGUUCAAAAUUUUUCAAAUACUCAUUCAACAUUUUUAAUACUUAUUCAACAUUUGAAAAUACUUGUUCAACAUUUUUCAAAUACUCGUUCUACAUUUUUUUUAAUACUUAUUCAACAUUUGUCAAAUACUUGUUCAACAUCUUUAAUACUUUAUUCAACACUUUCAAAUACUUUCUUAACGUUUUUAAUACCUAUUCAAUUUUUCAAAUACUUGUUCAACAAUUUUUUUAAUAUUUUUUAGAAAUUGUUUUGUGUGUGUGUGUGUGUGUGUGUGUCUAUAUAUAUAAGUACAAAAAUAAAGCAAAAAACGAGAACACAGAAAAAAAACAUAAAAACAGGCCUUUGCAUCCCGCGCAGCUGGGCCUUCCCAUCUGGGCUCCCCCCGACGCGAGCCGCCAGGUGUAAGGCGAUAAAUAGGGGUUCCCCGCAAAGAGCGGCGAAUAGGAAAUUUCGCAGUAAUGCUACACUCACGGUGGGAUUUUUACGGACUUCACGGGGUAGCAAACAUGGGGGAUUANNNNNNNNNNNNNNNNNNNNNNNNNNNNNNNNNNNNNNNNNNNNNNNNNNNNNNNNNNNNNNNNNNNNNNNNNNNNNNNNNNNNNNNNNNNNNNNNNNNNNNNNNNNNNNNNNGAUUAGAUGGAACAACCCCGUAUUAGUCCCGUAAAAGCCCGUGAGUCUACCAUUUUCGGAAAUUUCGUAUAUCAUGGGGAUGCCUUUUAGGUUUCCGUGGCACUUUAUGGAUAGUGGGCUGGCCCAAGUACGUAAGUGAAAAGGCCACUACAGCUUUUAAAUGCAAAUGAUCCAUCUCUCUCUCUCUCUCUAAAGAAAUUGAAAGAAAUCCCAAUCAAUUAUGAAAAAAAUCGCAACUUUCCCAAUAAAAAAACUUACUGCGAUCAUUGUAAAAAAUGUGUACUGGAAAUAAUCUGUACUCGCCAAAGUAAUAAGAAUGUACAUAUGCACGUCGAUGCUAUUUCCUUGCUUCUACUUGUUUUCAGCAUCUUCCAGAAAUUAAAGUUUCUUCUUUUUCAGUACCCUAAUUCUUCCAUAUAUUUGCAAAAGGAAGCGAAAUAUAGCAGCAACGUGCAUAAACAUGCAGCAUCCUAAUAUCUAUAUAAAAUAAAAUGUAAGAUGACUAAGAAUUACACACAAGGUGUGGCCGCUCUUCCUAUUUUCACACGUUUUUUUUGCUAGCCUUUCUAUUUUCACAUGUCAUUUGCACUGCCCUAAAUUCGCAUACACACAAACAAAAGAGUUGCACUAUCCCUGUUUUCUUGUGGGUACUCAGUUAUUACACUACCCCACAAGUUGCUCAAAAAACAGCUAUUAAACUACCCUACAAAAGCAGGUAGUCACUUAACACUGCCCUACAAAUAUAUGUUCGCUUAGCCUGGAAGCAAGAAAGAUAUAUGCGUGUCACUGCAAGUAUAUAACAAGCCCCCCUCCCUCCUCUACAUCCAUCCAUCGUAAAAUCCAUUUUGAAGGUCUUAAUCUUUCACAUGUUUUUUUUUUGCUAGCCUUUCUAUUUUCACAUGUCAUUUGCACUGCCCUAAAUUCACGCACACACAAACAAAAGAGUUGCACUAUCCCUGUUUUCUUGUGGGUACUCAGUUAUUACACUACCCUAAAAGUUGCUAAAAAUAGUUAUUACACUACCCUACAAAAGCAGGUAGUCACUUACACCACCCUACAAAAAUCUGCUCGCUUAGCCUGGAAGCAAGAAAGAUAUACGUGUGUUACUGCGAGUAUAUAACAAGCCCCCCUCCCUCCUCUACACUCAUCCAUCAUACAAUCCACCUUGAAGGUCUUAAUCUAUCAUACAACCCUCUUAGACUCUUAGUCUCUCACAAGAAACUAAAUGGAUCGGUCCAUGAAGGUCUUUGUGGUCGUCUUCCUGCUUCUUGUGGCCACAGGUAUAUAUGCUGUACUAUUUAAGAUAACUGUAAAUUCUGCUAUAGUUUAUGAGUAUACGUGAGAUGACUGAUUUGCUCUAUCAAUUUGCCCGUGUAGGGUUCCAGGGAGCAGUGCAGGUAGCUUUGGCGAGGGAUUGUAGGUCACAGAGCAAAACGUUUGUGGGGCUGUGCGUGAGCGACACCAACUGUGCAAGUGUUUGCCUGACCGAGCAUUUCCCCGGAGGCAAGUGCGACGGCUAUCGGCGAUGUUUCUGCACCAAGGACUGCUAGAUGGCCUUGUUUUCUUCUCGCUUACAUGCUUCCGUGUAAUAAUAACUGAAUAAUACUAGAUCUGAAUCUAUGCAUGUAUGAUGCAUAUGUGAGUGCUACUCCUAGAAGUACAUGCACAUCAUAUAAUCCGAACAAAGUUUCAGCGGGGAACCAGUUCAAGUUGAAUAAUCCAACACUCCGGAACUGGAGCUGCUACCGUUUUCAGGGUUGAAACGAAUAUAAGCUUAAAAACUGGAAAAUGAGACAUGAAGUUUGACUAGGAGGGAAGCAAUUUUUGUAAGAAAGAAAAGUGAAGCGUGGAAGUAGACCUCGCACCACACCUGAAGAUUUG